UACAGAGGUCCCAAGCGUUGUUCGGAUUCAUUGGGCGUAAAGGGUGCGUAGGUGGCGCUGUAAGUCGGGUGUGAAAUUUCGGAGCUUAACUCCGAAACUGCAUUCGAUACUGCGGUGCUUGAGGACUGGAGAGGAGACUGGAAUUCAUGGUGUAGCAGUGAGAUGCGUAGAGAUCAUGAGGAAGACCAGUGGCGAAGGCGGGUCUCUGGACAGUUCCUGACACUGAGGCGCGAAGGCCAGGGGAGCAAACGGG
rnacentral:rRNA from 1 species